UUGUCCACCGCUCAGUCAGUAGAGCAUGAGACUCUUAAACUCAGGGUCGUGGGUUUGAACCCCCACCUUGGGCAAA